UGAGGUCCCUGUGUACGAUGAUGGCCUCCCAAUGUUGUGGAAAAUAAUAUCUCACGUGAUCUCUCAUGGAACCAAAAAAGAAUAAUUGAAUAGGGCAAUAUAAGGGCCACUAGGGAAGUACGUGGGUCAUCGCGGCCAUCGAAUAAAAAUAAAAAGAUUGUGUACUUGCAAUAAUUUACAUUCAACACUUCAUCAUUAUAUAUACCAUGUGUUUAACAAAUAUUGAUGUUUUUUUCAGUCAAAGAAUGACAUAAGUGAAGCUAUAAAUGAAGGACGUAACUGAUAGGAGUUUUGUUCAUGUCAGUAAUUGAGUGGUAAAGUUUAUAGAAUGCUAAUUCUCAGAUGUUUAUGUCUCUUCCCUUUUACUUAUUUAGAACACCAUGUAUAUAGCAGUAUUAGCUCUGUACAAGCUACUAAAUGAUAUAGAAAGUUGGAGUCAAAAUUUAUAAAAUCUAAUGAUUGGAUCCAGAUUAGUACAAGAUAUCUAUUCAAGCUUAAGGUUAUUUUAUUUGAACUGACCAUGAGAGUGUUGAAGUUACUCUAAUGGAAAUGGCAAUGACAAGAUAGUAGCAACUUCUUGGAUAUGCCAAAUAUCUAAAACUUUAACUCUAAUUUACAGAAACAUAUUACUCAUCUUUACACUUAAAAUUUGAGUGUUUGUUUACCGAAUAUUAUAUUUUUUUGUUUUUUCAAAUUAUAAUAUGUUCCUAAAACGCAUCAGCGUCACUCUAAAAGAUGGUACAUGUAUCCUAGAAAAUGAAUGUCUAGUUAGUCUUGGGAAAAUAUUGUUAUACUUAAGAUACCAAUGUAUCACAUCUAAAUGGAUUAUAGAUGAACUCAGAGCGUGCACUAAAUGGUAGGCAUGAUUUUAUUGUAAGUUGUGUGCAGAUCGUCCAAGAUCUUAUAGUAGACAUCCAGUAAUAUAUGUAAUACCCGAUCUAGCUCCUAGAUGCCUAACUAGAGUGCAUCUGCUAUCGUGGAAAACAGAAUGCAUGUGCAAGUGCACUUUUUGCUACUACAUGUAUGACUGCUAAUACAUGUUAUUUACAAGAGCAUAUCUUUUUAUUUGCUGGUUGAGGAAUUUCAAAUGGAAAUAUCUAAAACUACAGUAAGAACAUAAUUCCUGAUGCCUUAGAACAUAUUUUGAUUGCUUUAUUAAUGAGUGCAUAAAUUUUUAUAGUAGGUCAUAUGAUAUGCUAGGUGCUAGCCGGACUUCAGUCGAUAUUCGUUCUAAUAUGGUUAUCUUUGUAACAUGUCUGGUGCACAUCUACUUUUUAGAUCUUUGGGACCAUGGCUGCUCACAAAUUCCUAUUUUCUAAGAUUGCUCAAAGAUAUGAGUUGUUUUGCAGGGACAAAUGAAAGAAAGUAGCGACUCCAACUUGAUCUAAGAUGUUCCGGUGAUCGGUUUUGUCCAUAACAUGGUUGACACAUUCUUUUCAUAUGGAAGUUGAUGUCAGCUUGGGGAUCAAAGACUUGGUCUCUUCCAUAAAUUCUUUUGCUGUAGUGGUCGAACAUUUGGUAUCAUAGGAACUUGACCAUCAUAUUUUGUAAGAGGCCACAACCUGAGUGUUGACUUCUGUAUUUUCUUAAUGGUUGUAGGUAACCUGAGUAUGUAUAGGUAUUGGGAAAAUAUUCUAUAUAUGUUGAUUGAAUGCAUUGAUCAAUAAUAUCUUGUGAUUGGGUACUUAACCUGAAAUGGAUGUAUUGAUCAGUGGUAUCUUGUGAUGGAUAAAAAGUGCAAAUGUUUGUAUACGUAUUGGGAAUUGAACAUGAAAUAAAUUAUCGGUGUAGAAAG
rnacentral:lncRNA from 1 species